rnacentral:rRNA from 1 species
UACGGGAGGCAGCAGUGGGGAAUAUUGCACAAUGGGCGCAAGCCUGAUGCAGCCAUGCCGCGUGUAUGAAAAAGGCCUUCGGGUUGUAAAGUACUUUCAGUCGUGAGGAAGGUGUUAAGGUUAAUAACCUUAGCAAUUGACGUUAGCGACAGAAGAAGCACCGGCUAACUCCGUGCCAGCAGCCGCGGUAAUACGGAGGGUGCGAGCGUUAAUCGGAAUUACUGGGCGUAAAGGGCACGCAGGCGGUUAAUUAAGUUGGAUGUGAAAUCCCCGGGCUUAACCUGGGAAUGGCAUUCAAGACUGGUUAGCUAGAGUCUUGUAGAGGGGGUAGAAUUCCAUGUGUAGCGGUGAAAUGCGUAGAGAUGUGGAGGAAUACCGGUGGGCGAAGGCGGCCCCUGGGACAAAGGACUGACGCUCAUGUGCGAAAGCGUGGGGAGCAAACAGGGAUUAGAUACC